GAAAGGCGAAACGUAAUGUGAAUCGCAACUAACAGUGAAUCAUCGAAUCUUUGAACGCAGGCCGCACCUUGCAAUAUCACUUCGUGUUGUUACAAGGUAUCUACGUAUGAGUGCCAGCCCAAUAUCAUUUAUUGGUUCAAGAAAAUGAUUAUUUUUUUUAAUAUAAAAAUAAUUCAAAUUCUUGGAUACAUAUUUUAUGGAAAAAAAACAUAAAUUUUUUUAUGUCUGGCCUCACAUGUGGAAGGUUACCCGCUGGAUUUAAGC
rnacentral:misc_RNA from 1 species